GACUCUCUGGCGCAACGGUAGCGCAUCACGCUUCUAUUCAAGCGCCGCUUUCUCUCGGAUGCUCGUGGGGGUCAAACUCCACGACUGAGGAUGGCGAUCACGACUUGAACCGUGAAGGUUAUGAGUUCGACUCUCAUGGGAGUUA